GCAACUGAUGAGGAGAUAUUUUCAUAAAUAAUUGAUUAAGAGAAACUACAAGAAACAAUUCAGGGAUUCUGACCACAUAUGAUUACAAAAGAUAGACAUAUAGAAAAGUAAAACUAAGAGAACAAUGCAUUUUAUGUAACAGAUGAUCUUAUUACCGAGGAAGUAAAGCUUUGAUUUCUCAUCCAUUUACUUUGAGACUGGUUGGGUAUUGAAGAGCUCAUAUUGGUAAGCAAAGAUGAGGGCCUCCCUCAUCUCAGUAUUGAGAUAACUUAGGGUAAAGUCAUGCAUCUGAUUAUUAGUUUAAUGCAAUCCAAAAUGUUUCUAUCAAGUUUAAGUGCUGAAAAAACUUGAUCUCUCUGUAAAGACGAUUAACAAAGUGAGCUAAUCUCUAAUUCUAUAAAUGAAAGUGUUGGCACUCCAAUUUAUCAGUCAAGUGAAUUAAAUUGGGAAUUUGAUAUGGAAGUUUCACUUGAAUUUUCUAGAUACACCCGCAUUCUUUGCCAAAGGGAAUUAUCCUAGGUGCUAAUAAUUAAAAUUCUGCCAUUAAAGUAAGCAUCGUUCAGCUCAAAUCGGAAAACCAAAUCAAAAUUGGUUUUUUUUUUUUUUGUUCUUUUUCUUCUUUCACUCUCACACACAGAGACUCGCUCACACACAGUGUUUGGUUUUCUUGUUUUUGCGUUUCUCUCUCUACUUUCUCUCUCGCUCUCUCAGCUUUCAAAACGAUGGCUUUUUGAUCUUUCUUCCUCCUCGUGCGUUGGUGGUCUAUAUACGCGCGAAACAGAGAAUAAAUCACCCAAAAUAAUGCUCUCUUUUUUCAGGUAAUAAAUAAAUAAAU
rnacentral:misc_RNA from 1 species